UGUAAAUGAAAAAAAAAAAUAAAAACAAUGUACGCGUUUUAGUAGGUCAAAUAUAAUAUUAUUAUAAGCUAGUCAUAAAAACGUGUGUAUGUGUGUGUGUGUAUGUGUGUGCGUGUGUGUGUGUGCGCGCGCGCGCUUUUUAA